GGGGUGUUAGCUCAGUUGGUAGAGCAGCUGACUCUUAAUCAGCGGGUCGAGGGUUCGAGCCCCCCACAUCCCA
rnacentral:tRNA from 1 species